CUAGAGGCAGCACGACCAACAUGAGUUUUUGUGUUUUGGAAAAAGAAAUGGAACCCUUUUGCAGAGGGGAACGAUAAUUAAUUCCCCAAAUCAGUUUGCCAGCGAUUUUCAGGUGAAUUGAAUGAGUUUUCCAAAGCCAGUCAGCUGGGAGGGGUGGAUGAAUCCAGAAACAGCCUGUUUCCUUGUGACUAAAUCAAGCCCACUAUCAAAAAGGACUCUUCCAUUUCUUUGGCUCUUUUCACAUUUUUCUUCUUUAUCAUGGUUUGUAAUGAAUUUUCUGAUGUGAGCUUUGAUUUUGAGGCUGGAAUAUGGAGUUCAAGACACGGAAGGAAUGGUCUUUUUCAAUCAGGGCACAGCUGUUGGCUUGCUCCAAUUCUGGCUUUCUGUCAUGGUUUUGGGUACCUCAGCCGAGUUUUGGUUUCUUGAGCGGCA